rnacentral:rRNA from 1 species
AUUGAACGCUGGCGGCAUGCCUUACACAUGCAAGUCGAACGGCAGCGGACCUUCGGGUGCCGGCGAGUGGCGAACGGGUGAGUAAUAUAUCGGAACGUACCUUUCAGUGGGGGAUAACGUAGCGAAAGUUACGCUAAUACCGCAUAUUCUGUGAGCAGGAAAGCAGGGGAUCGCAAGACCUUGCGCUGAUUGAGCGACCGAUAUCAGAUUAGCUAGUUGGUGAGGUAAAGGCUCACCAAGGCGACGAUCUGUAGCGGGUCUGAGAGGAUGAUCCGCCACACUGGAACUGAGACACGGUCCAGACUCCUACGGGAGGCAGCAGUGGGGAAUUUUGGACAAUGGGCGCAAGCCUGAUCCAGCCAUGCCGCGUGAGUGAAGAAGGCCUCGG